ACAACUUUUAACAACAGAUCUCUUAGUUCUAGCAUUAAUAAAGAACGCAGCGAAAUGCGAUAAGUAGUGUAAAUUGCAGAAUUUAGUAAAUUAUCAAAUCUUUAAACGCACAUUGCGCCCCUUAGUAUUCUAUAGGGUAUGCCUGUUUAAGCGUCAUUUAUACCCUUAAGCUCUACUUAGUGUUAGGUGUUUAUUCUACUUAGGACUUGCCUUAAAACAAUUGGCAGCUAGCAUAUUAGCCUAGAGCGCAGCACAUUUUGCGCCUCUUAUUAUAGUUAUUAGUAUCUAUUAAGACACUUUUUAAGCUCUUAACCUUAGAUUAGGUAGGGAUACCCGCUAAACUUAAGCAUAUUAAUAAGCGGAGGAAAAGAAACUAAUAGGGAUUGCCCUAGUAACGGCGAGUGAAGUGGCAACAGCUUAAAUUUGAAAUCUAGCUCUUUUAGGGUCCGAGUUAUAAUUUGUAGAGGGCGCUUUAGCGUUAGUAGUAGUCUAAGUUCCUUAGAACAGGACGUUAUAGAGGGUAAGAAUCCUAUACAUAGUUACUAGCCUUUGCCGUGUAAAGCCCCUUUAACAAGUUAAGUUGUUUAGGAAUGCAGCUCUAAAUAGGAGGUAAAUUUCUUCUAAAGCUAAAUACUAGCUAGAGACCAAUAGCGUAUAAGUAGAGUAAUUAAAAGAUAAAAAGCACUUUAGAAAGAGAGUUAAAUAGCACGUGAAAUUGUUAAAAGGGAAGCGCUUGCAGCUAGACUUGCCUAUAGUUACUUAUCUAGGCUUUUGUCUAGUGCACUCUUCUACAGGCAGGCUAGCAUUAGUUUAGGCGGUUAGAUAAAGGUCUCUGUCACGUACCUCCCUUUAGGGAGGCCUUAUAGGGGAGAUAAUAUGCAACUAGCCUAGACUAAGGUCCGCGCAUCUACUAGGAUGCUAGCGUAAUAGCUAUAAGCGGCCUGUCUUAAAACAUAGACUAAGGAGUCUAAUAUCUAUGCAAGUGUUUAGGUGUUAAGCCUAGACGCGUAAUAAAAGUAAACAGAGGUAGGAACCCUUUUAGGGUGCACUAUUAACUAAUCCUAAUAUCUUUAGAAGGAUUUAAGUAAGAGCAUAGCUAUUAGGACCUAAAAGAUAGUAAACUAUGCUUAAAUAGGGUAAAGCUAGAGGAAACUCUAGUAGAGGCUCGCAGCAGUUCUAACGUGCAAAUUAAUCGUCAAAUUUAGGUAUAGGGGCGAAAGACUAAUCAAACUAUCUAGUAGCUAGUUCCUACUAAAGUUUCCCUUAGGAUAGUAGUAACGUAUUUAGUUUUAUAAGGUAAAGCAAAUAAUUAGAGGCCUAGGGGUUAAAACAACCUUUACCUAUUCUUAAACUUUAAAUAUAUAAGAAGUCCUUAUUACUUAAUUAAACGUGGACACUUAAAUGUACUGUUACUAGUAGGCCAUUUUUAGUAAGCAGAACUAGCGAUGCGGGAUAAACCAAACGCGGGGUUAAGGUGCUAGAAUACACGCUUAUUAGACACUACAAAAGGUGUUAGUUUAUCUAGACAGCAGGAUAGUAGCUAUAGAAGUUAGAAUCUACUAAGGAGUGUGUAACAACUCACCUACUAAAUAAACUAGCCCUAAAAAUAGAUGGCGCUUAAGCGUGUUACCUAUACCCCGCCGCUAGGGCAAGAUUUAAGCCCUAGCAAGUAGGCAGGCGUAGAGGCUUGUAACAAAGCCUUAGGGGUAACCCUAGGUAGAACGGCCUCUAGUGCAGAUCUUAGUAGUAGUAGCAAAUACUUAAAUAAGAACUUUAAGGACUAAAGUAGGGAAAGGUUCUGUGUAAAUAGCAGUUAGACACGGGUUAGUUAAUCCUAAGAGAUAGGGUAAUUCUAUUUUAAUAUUAGCGCUUACGCCGCGCCCUUAAAAGGGAAGCUAGUUAAUAUUCUAGCACCUAGAUGUAGAUUCUCCGCGGCAACGCAACUAAGAGCAGAGACCUUAGCGGGAGCCCUAAGAAGAGUUCUCUUUUCUUCUUAAUAGUCUGUUACCCUAAAAUUAGUUUGUCUAGAGCUAGGGUUUAAUAGCUAGAAGAGCGCUGCACUUUUGUAGCAUUUAGUGCGCUCCUAACAAGCCUUAAAAAUCUACUUAAAGAAAUAGUUUUUACGCUAGGUUAUACUUAUAACCGUAGCAGGUCUCUAAGGUAAAAAGCCUCUAGUUAAUAGAACAAUGUAGAUAAGGGAAGUUAGCAAAAUAGAUCUGUAACUUUAGGAAAAGGAUUAGCUCUAAGGGUUAGGUACGUUAGGCCUUAGGGAGAAGCCUCUAGCGCAGAAGGGCACUAACUACAAGGUAGGCGCCUCUUAGCGCUAGGGUGCAGACACCCUUAGCAGGUUUUAGCUGUCUAGCGUACGUUUAACAACUAACUUAGAACUAGUAUAGAUAAGGGGAAUCUAACUAUCUAAUUAAAAUAUAGCAUUAUAAUAGCUAGAAAGUAGUGUUAAUAUAAUGUGAUUUCUGCCUAGUACUCUAAAUAUUAAAGUAAAGAGAUUUAACUAAGCGCGGGUAAACAGCGGGAGUAACUAUAACUCUCUUAAGGUAGCUAAAUACCUUGUUAUCUAAUUAGUGACGCGCAUAAAUAGAUUAAUAAGAUUCCUACUAUCCCUAUCUACUAUCUAGCGAAACUAUAGCUAAGGGAACAGGCUUAGCUAAAUUAGCGGGGAAAGAAGACCCUGUUAAGCUUAACUCUAGUUUAACAUUGUGAAAAGAUAUAGGGGGUGUAGAAUAGGUAGGAGCUUUAGCGCUAGUAAAAUACUACUACCCUUAUUAUUUUUUUACUUAUUUAAUAAAGCAGAGCUAGGCCUUACCGCCUAACUUCUAGCGUUUAAGGUCCUUUGUAGGCUAAUCUAGGUUAAAGAUAUUAUUAGGUAGGGAGUUUAGCUAGGGUAGCAUAUCUAUUAAACUAUAACGUAGGUGUCCUAAGGGGGACUUAUAGAGAAUAGAAAUCUCUAGUAGAGUAAAAGGGCAAAAGUCCCCUUAAUUUUAAUUUUUAGUGUAAAUAUAAACUAUAAAAGUGUAGCCUAUUAAUCCUUUAGUCCCUCAAAAUUUAAGGCUAGAGGUGCUAGAAAAGUUACCACAGGGAUAACUAGCUUGUGGCAGCCAAGCGUUCAUAGCAACGUUGCUUUUUAAUCCUUUAAUGUUAGCUCUUCCUAUUAUACUAAAGCAGAAUUUAGUAAGCGUUGGAUUGUUCACCUACUAAUAGGGAACGUAAGCUAGGUUUAGACCGUUAUAAGACAGGUUAGUUUUACCCUACUAAUAACCUUGCCCUAAUAGUAAUACCGCUUAGUAUAAGAGGAACCGCAGUUUUAGAUAAUUAGUUUUUGCGGCUAUCUAACUAGGCAUUGCCGCGAAGCUACCAUCUGCUAGAUUAUGGCUAAACGCCUCUAAGUUAGAAUCUAUGCUAGAAUAGGGUAAUUUCCGCCUACACUAGUUAGAUACAAAUAGGCCUUUAGCCCAGAACCUUACUAGAUUAGCGUUAGCAGCCCUAUUAAAGUUAGGGUUAUUAGCUAGUGUAUUGUAAUUAUAUAGUACACAGGAUUAAAUCCUUUAUAGAUAACUUA
rnacentral:rRNA from 1 species